GAAUAUUGCGCAAUGGAGGCAACUCUGACGCAGCCAUGCCGCGUGCAGGAAGAAGGCGCUACGCGUUGUAAACUGCUUUUAUCCGGGAAGAAACCCCUCGACGUGUCGAGGGUUGACGGUACCGGAGGAAUAAGCCCCGGCUAACUUCGUGCCAGCAGCCGCGGUAAUACGAAGGGUGCAAGCGUUAUCCGGAUUCAUUGGGUUUAGAGGGUGCGUAGGCGGAGCGCUAAGUCAGUGGUGAAAUCCUGCAGCUUAACUGUAGACUUGCCAUUGAUACUGACGUUCUUGAGUGCGCUUGAAGUAGGCGGAAUGUGCCGUGUAGCGGUGAAAUGCUUAGAUAUGGCACAGAACACCAAUUGCGAAGGCAGCUUACUAAGGCGAUACUGACGCUGAGGCACGAAAGCGUGGGGAGCGAACAGG
rnacentral:rRNA from 1 species